rnacentral:rRNA from 1 species
AUUGAACGCUGGCGGCAGGCCUAACACAUGCAAGUCGAGCGGCAGCGGGAAAGUAGCUUGCUACUUUUGCCGGCGAGCGGCGGACGGGUGAGUAAUGCCUGGGGAUCUGCCCAGUCGAGGGGGAUAACUACUGGUAACGGUAGCUAAUACCGCAUACGCCCUACGGGGGAAAGCAGGGGACCUUCGGGCCUUGCGCGAGUGGAUGAACCCAGGUGGGAUUAGCUAGUUGGUGAGGUAAUGGCUCACCAAGGCGACGAUCCCUAGCUGGUCUGAGAGGAUGAUCAGCCACACUGGAACUGAGACACGGUCCAGACUCCUACGGGAGGCAGCAGUGGGGAAUAUUGCACAAUGGGGGAAACCCUGAUGCAGCCAUGCCGCGUGUGUGAAGAAGGCCUUCGGGUUGUAAAGCACUUUCAGCGAGGAGGAAAGGUUGGUAGCUAAUAACUGCCAGCUGUGACGUUACUCGCAGAAGAAGCACCGGCUAACUCCGUGCCAGCAGCCGCAGUAAUAC